GACGAACGCUGGCGGCGUGCUUAACACAUGCAAGUCGAGCGGUAAGGCCCUUUCGGGGGUACACGAGCGGCGAACGGGUGAGUAACACGUGGGUGACCUGCCCUCAGCUCUGGGAUAAGCCUGGGAAACCGGGUCUAAUACCGGAUAUGACUCCAUGACGCAUGUUGUGGGGUGGAAAGCCUUGUGCGGCUGAGGAUGGGCCCGCGGCCUAUCAGCUUGUUGGUGGGGUGAGGCCUACCAAGGCGACGACGGGUAGCCGGCCUGAGAGGGCGACCGGCCACACUGGGACUGAGACACGGCCCAGACUCCUACGGGAGGCAGCAGUGGGGAAUCUUGCGCAAUGGGCGAAAGCCCUGACGCAGCGACGCCGCGUGAGGGAUGACGGCCU
rnacentral:rRNA from 1 species